UGUUCACAUAUUCUUUUUAUCUCCCUAAGGUGAUCAUCCAUUGACUUGUCUAACUUUUCCACUGUCUGAAGUUUGUGUUGCAGUUCAAAAAGUCUAGAAGCUGAUACCUUGUUGAAAUGCUGAGCCAGAGCUGACCAGAGUUCUUGAGCGGUAGUGGUGUGAACAACAUCACGAAGAAUAUCUUCGGAGAGAGAUCCAAGCAACCAGGCUCGAAUAACUUGAUUUGCUCGAUGCCACGACAGGAAGUCAGGAUUCGGGACAUAACCCACUUGGCCAUCGAUAGCAGGAACUGGGAUAGACGCUAGCGGUUGAGCAAAGGCACCAUUGACAAAGCCGAGAAGAUUUUGACCAGAGAGAAAAGACUCGAACUGGGAUUUCCAGAGGAGAUAGUUCUUUUCGGUCAGUUGCACAGUGACGCAAUUUGAGAUGUGAAGAGCAGGAGGAGAAUAAAGUUGAAUCAUUUGAUCCAUGGCUCUGAUACCAUAAAGAAGUCAGCUCAGCGGCUCUUUAGGUAAUAAACAUUUAUCUCUUUUAUUUCCUUAAAUCAUUAAGUUACAUCACUUGUCUUUAUAUAGACUUUACAAUAUUAGGGUUUUUUCCAUGAGAAAGCUCAUUCAUCACAUGAGUCUAGACAAUCAAAUCUGUUCUUCAAUUGUAUUGGUACAGUCAAUUGUUCUCUUUGCUUUGCUGGCUCUGUUUUCGUUUGUUUGUGCAGGUGGAUAAGACCGUUGGAAGCUUGGAGAAGCUUGAAUAGUUGUAGUCUUUUCAACUUUGCAUUGGGCUGAGGGAGGUUUAUUGGGCUUGACGGUAAUGAGCUUGUUUGAGGUAGAGCCCAUUACCGUUUUGAUCACAUCAAUCUAAGGAGCUGGAGCUGUUGAGUUCUUGACUGAGGGAACCGGAGCUGUUGAGUUCUUGCUGAUAAUUACUAUUCAUAAUUUUACAAUGUGCAUUAUGAUAUCGCACCAAUACUACAUUCAUCAAUAGAUAAAAUCAUUAUAAAUUUAUCACAUUCAUAAGCAUGUAUUUACAUGACAAUACAGAGUACCAUCGAAAAUGACAUGAUCGCCAAAAAUAUAUGCGAGAUUUUAUGGA